rnacentral:tRNA from 1 species
GGAAAAAUGGCUCAGUGGUAAAGUGCCUGCCUACCAAGUACAAGGCCCUGAGUUCAAACCUCAGUACUGCCA